UCCAUGUCUCUUGUACCCUGCAAUCUGGAGGCCACUGCCAGAAGCUGGAAAUCUCAAGUAGAGCAGCAAAAGGUAUGAGGAUUGACACAAAGUUGUGGCCGAUGGAGGCUCCCCAAAGUGCAUGGAAGGUGGUGAUCCAGUGUCUAAAGGCAGGAGUACUGGGGCAACCCCAUAGCUGGGGGUCCUAUGGGAGAGACUGAGGAACUUCGGUUUGUGGACUCUCAGUCAACUGUGUUACUGAGGAGGGGAAAGGAAAGUAGAUGAGUUGGUGGUUUGAACAAGACCCAAAUCUUGCUUCUACUUAUAGGUGCUCACAAUGGCCAGUGCCCUGGAAAAGCUCUGGAAUAAAUACACCUGGGCCUUAGAAAGCAGAGGCAGGAGACAAUGCCAUCCAGUGGGAGCUUUCAUUUGUUUCCUCAGCCAGCCUCUGUGUCAGGCUUUUUGGGAACAAGGGCUGGAUGAACAAGACCUUGGGAGUUCCUGUGGGGAGGGACUGGGGGUGAAUGGGCAGUGUGGCUGGCCCGGUGAUCACUUCUCCUCUGCUUGUCUAGGCUUGAGGAUGGAUUCUUGGCUCCUGGUGCAUUGCCACUCCCUGCCACCCUCCUCCUUGUCUUCUAUCUUCUCCUGGUGGCGUCAGGCCUUGCUUCGUGUCCCAACAGGAGCCUCUGGGGCUGGCACAGCCCUCACUGCCUACAACCUGGGCCUGGUGGUUCUCCUAGGGUGCCUCUGGGAGGUCAUGGUCACCCCGCUGCUGGCUAACUGCAGCUACUUCUGCCAGCCAGUGGACUACAGAUGGAGAAAGCAUGGAAUGAGGGUAUGGCAGGGAGCAGGAAGCAAGCCUGGAGAGGGUUAGGAGGAACAACUUCAUAACAAUCGGAGGUCAAGGAGGCAUCUUCCUGGAGACAGGAAGGUAGGCACUGUGGAAUCAGCGGUGCGUAGAACAGUGAGGAUUUGGGGCUGAACCCAGCCCAGGUGGGCCAAGCCGUGGCACCAGCCGGACUGCAGUCUGAUGGAACUUCCCCUUCCUGCCCAGCAGAUGGCGAGCGUGUGCUGCUGGUGCCUCUUUCCAAAGGACGUUGAAUUGCUUGACAGGUGUUCUUUACUUUAUGAAUGAAGCCAGAGCAGCCCACCUUCCUGCAUCUCUACCACCAUGGCACCAUGCCCUGUGAUGGGUGGGCUGGAGUCAAAUAUGUAGCAGGCAGCCAGGGUCAGUUUGUGGCCACUGCUGCCCCCUCUUCCUACAGUCUCCUCACUGAGUGCCCCUUCCCUGUUGGGUUCAACACAUCUGUGCUCCUGUAAGCCCUCAGCCUCCUCGUUCUCUUCCUCAACUUCUACCACCAGACACAUCUGAGAAGCAAGCAAGAGAGGCUGAACUAGGAGCAGGACCCAGGGACUGAAACCAGCACAGCAUCCCCACAGAGAAUUGGGUGGAAGGCAGCAUGGCUUCCAGCUUACUGGUGCUGAGCAGAUUGCUCUGGGUCUCCAUUGUAUCCUCUGAAGGAAGGAGGAGGAUUGCCUUCUGUCCAGAUCUCAGGAUCAAACAAAUAGGUCCAAUUUCCUGUGCUCACUUCAGUUAGAGCACUUCUCAUGUGACUUUGUAGCUUUGUGUGCAUCUCCUUCCUCUACUAGACCUAAGCCCCUCACGGGAGGGACUCUCUUAUUCUUGAUGUUCCCCACACCUGGAAUUUCAAUAAACAUCUCAAUAAACGUG
ensembl:lncRNA novel transcript, sense overlapping KCNA1